UACGAAGGGGGCUAGCGUUGCUCGGAAUCACUGGGCGUAAAGCGCACGUAGGCGGGUCUUUAAGUCAGGGGUGAAAUCCUGGAGCUCAACUCCAGAACUGCCUUUGAUACUGAGGAUCUUGAGUCCGGGAGAGGUGAGUGGAACUGCGAGUGUAGAGGUGAAAUUCGUAGAUAUUCGCAAGAACACCAGUGGCGAAGGCGGCUCACUGGCCCGGUACUGACGCUGAGGUGCGAAAGCGUGGGGAGCAAACGGG
rnacentral:rRNA from 1 species